AGGCAGCAGUGAGGAAUAUUGGUCAAUGGGCGUAAGCCUGAACCAGCCAAGUCGCGUGAGGGAUGAAGGUUCUAUGGAUCGUAAACCUCUUUUAUAAGGGAAUAAAGUGUGGGACGUGUCCUAUUUUGUAUGUACCUUAUGAAUAAGGAUCGGCUAACUCCGUGCCAGCAGCCGCGGUAAUACGGAGGAUCCGAGCGUUAUCCGGAUUUAUUGGGUUUAAAGGGUGCGUAGGCGGCCUUUUAAGUCAGCGGUGAAAGUCUGUGGCUCAACCAUAGAAUUGCCGUUGAAACUGGGGGGCUUGAGUAUGUUUGAGGCAGGCGGAAUGCGUGGUGUAGCGGUGAAAUGCUUAGAUAUCACGCAGAACCCCGAUUGCGAAGGCAGCCUGCCAAGCCAUGACUGACGCUGAUGCACGAAAGCGUGGGGAUCAAACAGGAUUAGAUACCCUGGUAGUCCACGCAGUAAACGAUGAUCACUAGCUGUUUGCGAUACAGUGUAA
rnacentral:rRNA from 1 species